CCCAGCCCCAGCCCUGGGCGAAGAUCCAGUGGUCGUGGCCGAGGAGGCUCUGCGGAGGAGGCGACUGGGCCAUGGCCGGGCUGCAGGCUCUGGGAGGCUGGGCUGGCCACCUCCAGGCCUUGCUUUUAUGUUGACCAAAGACUUGCUCUAUCGUCCAGGCUGGAGUGCAGUGGCACCAUCUCAGCUCACCACAACCUCCACCUCCUGGGUUCAAGUGAUUCUUCUGCCUCAGCCUCUCAAGUAGCUGGGACUACAGAUGAAGUCUCACUCUAUUGCCCAGGCUGGACUACAGUGGCACAAUCUCGGUUUACUGCAAACUUCGCCUCCUGGGUUCAAGCGAUUCUCCUGCCUCAGCCUCCCGAGUAGCUGGGAUUACAGGCAUGCACCAUCACACCUGGCUAAUUUUUGUAUUUUCAGUAGAGAUAGAGUUUCACCAUGUUGGCCAGGCUGGUCUCAAACUCCUGACCUCAAGUGAUCCGCCUCAGAUCCGCGGCCUCCCAAAGUGCUGGGUUUACAGGUGUGAGCCACCAUGUCCAGCCUUUUAAAUUUUAAAUAAUAAAAAAAUAAUAAGAAGAAAGAAACCUAAACCACUUGGUAUUCCCAGGCUGUCUCCCAUCCUGGUACUUAUCUUCUGAGAUAAGACAAGAUUGGGCGCGUUCAGAGUGGUAUGGCUGUACACCAGAACUUAUUUUUAAAUUGCACAUGUAAUACAUGAAUGCAGUCUUUUUGUGAAAAAUGUAAACACUGAAGACAAAAUUCAAGCUUGACCAGCCCCUAGAACUCAGACCUGCCCCCACCCACACUCCAAACAAGUCCUGGUAUGUUUUUCUAUAUUUGGUGUGUACCCAAGGCCUCUGUCUAUGUACAUAUACACAUAUAUACGAUAGACCCUUACAGAAUACAUGGUAUCUAUGACUUUCUGUGUAGAGGGGCUGUUUUUCAAAUUUCAUUUUCUUUUGACUUUGCUUAUAUCAAUGGUGCCAUACUGAAUGAAAUUUCUGCACCCUGAUUUUGUCACUAAGCAGUCUGUUUAAACUUGCACUUUUAAUCUUUUCCAAUCAGGAUGAAUUGCUGUCAGGGGAAUGGCUGGGCAAAGGGCAUGGUGAGGUUGUUCUGAAGCUUCAGCCCAGCCCUGUCGAGUCCAGGAGGUGCUUGGUUGAGGCUGACCUGGUUAAUGGCAGCCAAAAGCACUGCCCACACACCUGGGGCACCUUGGCCAAGGCACCUGGCCAUCCUGUGUGCUCCCAGGGCCUGGGGUGGAGCAUAAUCUACAAGGCUGAAAAAAACUUCCUUGGCUCAGGCCAAGGGCUGGAUGGUGGAUUUCUCUUGGUGAGGGGCCUUGGGAGCUGAGGAUAGAGUUCCUCUUGUCCUCGGUCUUUGGCACGUUGUCAGUACAGAUCAUAUAAGACCCCUCUUUUUAUUUCACAUCUGGCCAACUUAAGCUCUCUCCCCCUUCCCUUCAAUGUUCUCUAGCCUGUCCAGGGAUGCCCUAUCCCCAGCCUCUGGCAAAGGACCCCCGCCCACUGGCGCUGCACUUCCCCAGGUCUUGCCCAGGCAUUCCAGCUAGGCCCCAGGAACCCCGCUCUGCUUUUUACUGGGUCUAAAGUCAGAUACCUUGGGGGCAUUCUCCUAACCUCAGAUGGAGGACCCGGAGCUGGCCAAGGGCCUGAACCAGGCGGCUCGUAUGAGGUCCCAGGCUGGUGAUCUGGGCCGGCCCUGCACUCUUCAUCCUUCUGCCCAGGGCUGGCCACCCUCCUAGCACCUCACCACUGUUGCGAGCAGUCGGUAGGGGAGAGGGGGCACUUAGGGCCCAAAGCCUUCACUUCCUGCCUGGAUACAGCUCCAUCCUGGGCUUUUCUGGAGGGCCUGAGCAGGCUGGGCACACCCAAGUUGGCAGCUGAACCAGGUCUGCAAACCCUCACCCGAGAGUUGGCAAGAGUUACAAGUUUCGGUCAGCUUGUGGUCUGGCCUCUUUCUACCUCAGCUGCACCUGGGGCAUGUGUGUGUUGGGGAGGGGUGUUGAGCCCUGCUUGGCUCCUGCCUUCCUGAACCUGUCACCCUUUUCCUCAUUCUGCUGGGCUCCCGUCUUGCUCCACAUCUCUGCACACAGAUGUGUGCUUUUCUUGGUGGACAGAUGGGCAAACGGGUCCAGAAAGGGCAAACGGCCUGUCUGGGGUCACAUGGCCUGUCACACAGGCACUGAACCGGCCUUCAUCUAUUUCCUAAGCCAGCCCAGCAUCCCUGACAUAUCUACACAGUUUCCAGCGCACCCCCCAAGUAGAGC